rnacentral:rRNA from 1 species
GUCGAGGGGCAGCAUGUCUUAGCUUGCUAAGGCGAUGGCGACCGGCGCACGGGUGAGUAACGCGUAUCCACCUGCCUUACACUCUUGGACAGCCUUCUGAAAGGGAGAUUAAUACAAGAUGUUUAAGCAUUCGUAAAGGUUUCCGGUGUAAGAUGGGGAUGCGUUCCAUUAGAUAGUAGGCGGGGUAACGGCCCACCUAGUCUUCGAUGGAUAGGGGUUCUGAGAGGAAGGUCCCCCACAUUGGAACUGAGACACGGUCCAAACUCUACGGGAGGCAGCAGUGAGGAAUAUUGGUCAAUGGACGAGAGUCUGAACCAGCCAAGUAGCGUGAAGGAUGAAGGUUUAUGGAUUGUAAACUUCUUUUAUACGGGAAUAACGGAUCCACGCGUGGAUUUCUGCAUGUACCGUAUGAAUAAGGAUCGGCUAACUCCGUGCCAGCAGCCGCGGUAAUACGGAGGAUCCGAGCGUUAUCCGGAUUUAUUGGGUUUAAAGGGAGCGUAGAUGGGUUGUUAAGUCAGUUGUGAAAGUUUGCGGCUCAACCGUAAAAUUGCAAUUGAUACUGGCAGUCUUGAGUACAGUUGAGGUAGGCGGAAUUCGUGGUGUAGCGGUGAAAUGC